UAUAGAAGACAGCGCGCUAGCGUAUCUAGUCUUCUAUAUAUCUAUAGUCGGCACGUCUGGUAGCAUCUCUGACUGCUGUUGAUCUUGUUUUUGGAGUAAAACACGGUGGAAGCUGAAUUAGUGAGGAUGACUCCUGCUCCUGUCAUCUCUAAGCUCCUCACACAUCUUUACCUGCACAUGAGGAAAAUCACUCCUGUAGAAUGCAGAUGUUCAGAGGGAGGUGAUGCCACAUCUGGUCCAGCUGAUGGAAGGUCUUGAAGUUCUCUGACUGGCCUCGACUGAAGAUGGUCCUCUCACUGGAUUUAAGGUUCAGAUGUUCAGUAACAAACUCCACCAAUGUGCCAACAGGGAAGCUUUAGGUUUAUUAAAUGUUGCUAUGAAGGUAUCGCUGUUUUUCUUUGUGAAUGCAAUGUGCUCCAACUGAAACUUGAAUUAGAACAUAGAAGUAAAUCCUUCCAUCUGAAAGGAUUUAGUUGCAUUGAUAACCUCAUAACAUUCUAAUUUUUAUUCCAGUCUUGGUUGGAAAUAGAAUCUCUGUAUUGAUUCAGGUAAAAACUGAACUUCACAGCAUGUUGAAGCAAAACAACCAGAUGAAAACUGUGAUGGUGUUGGAUUGUCAGACCGUAAUGUUGCAGCUCAAAGCAGCUUUUCUGUCUCAGUUCAUUCUGACAUUCAGCUAUGAAUCAACACAGCAGAUGGUGAUCCAUGCUGUGGAAGUCUCACAUCUCCUGAUUUAAUGGAGCUGCUUUGCACUUUUUACACUGUUUCUUCACCAACACUUUAUUUAAUAAAAGUCCCAUCUAGUUUUUAUGAGGAAUGUGAUGUUUUAAUUUCUCUGUGAAUAACUGCAGUCUAAUGCAACAGCUGGAGUUGUAACAUCUGUCCUGAUAUUGAUCAUGAACCUUCUAACCCUCUGCUGCCUAUUAUCUGAAAACAGGAAUGUUCUGCUCUCAUUACUGAGCACACAGCCUAGUAAGAGGAGCACUUUUCAGAAAUGACUCAUGGGUAUUUAUUUUUUAAACGAAGACAAGAUGAUUGAUUGGUAGCUACAGACACUUGUUUGUAUUUUGUUCCCUUUAGAUAUGAAAGUAGAGUUCAGUUUGUUUCCUGAAGGCCUGUUUUAACAUUCCCUGGAAAUGGACCAAGUGAUGCAACCAAUGUCUGAGUGUGUCGGGGAAGAAGAGGGUCUGAAUUGGAGGUAGGGGGGCUGCAGUUAUUCCCUGAAGGUGUUUCUGUCGCAGCUCUGUGCUGCAGACUGUUCAGUCUAGAGCUGGCUCUCCAUUCACACUGUACAGAGAUCUAGCAUGUCUCUCCAAAUGAUAAAUAAAGAUGUCUUAUUACUAAAACCAUGCCUGGUGCUGGUU